GAACAGCAGUGGUGACCUAACUAAGCUCUGCCUAUGCUCCAAGCUGGGCUUGAAGCUAAAGAUACUGAAGAGGAUUACUGUAGAACUACAGCAUGGAACAGAACAAGGAAAGCCAUGAGUGGAAGAAGCUUAAGAGUCAUCGAGACUGUUGAAUUUAAAUGAUUGCAAAAUUGGUCACACCCAAAGGUGUUAUCUGUGCACUGGACAUCCUGCGGCGUAGAUUUCCAUCAUCUAGAAUGUCUCAGGACGGAGUGUUUCAGGACAGAGCACAUUAUUUGCAUCGUUAUUUUUCUUUCACAGUUGUCCUUAACAUCAUAGCGGGGAGUUGAUGUGUGUUCACAAUA